rnacentral:misc_RNA from 1 species
GAUGAAGAACGUAGUGAAAUGCGAUAAGUAAUGUGAAUUGCAGAAUUCCGUGAAUCAUCGAAUCUUUGAACGCACAUUGCGCCCGCUGGUAUUCCGGCGGGCAUGCCUGUUCGAGCGUCAUUUCAACCCUCAAGCCCCCGGGUUUGGUGUUGGGGAUCGGCUCUGCCCUUCUGGGCGGUGCCGCCCCCGAAAUACAUUGGCGGUCUCGCUGCAGCCUCCAUUGCGUAGUAGCUAACACCUCGCAACUGGAACGCGGCGCGGCCAUGCCGUAAAACCCCAACUUCUGAAUGUUGACCUCGGAUCAGGUAGGAAUACCCGCUGAACUUAAGCAUAUCAAUAAGCGGAGGA